rnacentral:rRNA from 1 species
UACGUAGGCAGCGAGCGUUGUUCGGAAUUACUGGGCGUAAAGAGUGUGUAGGCGGUGCUCUAAGUUUGGUGUGAAAUCUCCCGGCUCAACUGGGAGGGUGCAUCGAAUACUGGAAUGCUAGAGGGUGGGAGAGGUAAGCGGAAUUCCUGGUGUAGCGGUGAAAUGCGUAGAUAUCUGGAGGAACACCGGUGGCGAAGGCGGCAUCCUGGACCGGCAUUGACGCUGAGGCGCGAAAGCUAGGGGAGCAAACGGG